CAGCACAGUUUAGCAGUGCAGAUAUUUUUCAGUUACAACUGAAUUCACACUUUUAAUCCCAGAAAAAAACAACGCUCUUAUUUACCUUUUAAAAAGUCAUUUAAAUGCUGAUUAAAGGUCUGAUUACUGUGUGAGGUGAUGCUGUGUGAGGUGAUGCUGUGUGAGGUGAUGCUGUGUGAGGUGAUGCUGUGUGAGGUGAUGCUGUGUGUUAGGUGAUGCUGUGUGUGAGGUGAUGCUGUGUGUGAGGUGAUGCUGUGUGUGAGGUGAUGCUGUGUGUGAGGUGAUGCUGUGUGUGAGGUGAUGCUGUGUGUGAGGUGAUGCUGUGUGUGAGGUGAUGCUGUGUGUGAGGUGAUGCUGUGUGUGAGGUGAUGCUGUGUGUGAGGUGAUGCUGUGUGUGAGGUGAUGCUGUGAGAAAUGAUGCAGUAUGACGUGUGUGACGCUGUGUAAAGUGUGCGA